AUGUGAUAAGUAAUAUGAAUUGCAGAAUCUCGUGAAUCAUCGAAUCUUUGAACACACAUUGCGCUCUAUGGUAUUCCAUAGAGCAUGCCUGUCUGAGCGUCAGCUCCCUCACCCUCAAACCUUUAUAAAAAAAGGUUUGGAUAUUGAAAAGGUAAUUGAAUAAGUUACCUUUCAAAAAUAUAGAAGCAGUAUUAUUACAACCUACAUGAAAAUGUGAUAGUUAUAUUAUAUACCAUUUCUCUUAGGGAAUAUAUUACUUGCCUUAUUUAACCCACUGAAAGAAUCAAAUUCAUAGGUGACCUCAGAUCAGGUAGGGAUACCCGCUGAACUUAA
rnacentral:misc_RNA from 1 species